rnacentral:rRNA from 1 species
GUCCACGCCGUAAACGAUGGAUGCUAGCCGUUGGGGAGCUUGCUCUUCAGUGGCGCAGCUAACGCUUUAAGCAUCCCGCCUGGGGAGUACGGUCGCAAGAUUAAAACUCAAAGGAAUUGACGGGGCCCGCACAAGCGGUGGAGCAUGUGGUUUAAUUCGAAGCAACGCGCAGAACCUUACCAGCUUUUGACAUGUCCGGUAUGGUCGACAGAGAUGUCUUCCUUCCCGCAAGGGGCCGGAACACAGGUGCUGCAUGGCUGUCGU